rnacentral:lncRNA from 1 species
GGUUGUUUCACAUUAAGUUGCUUUGUAGAAUUAUAAAACAGAUUUUCUUGUGCUUUCAAAAAAAAUGUCAUCCACUAAUGAAUGAGAUGCCAUCUGUAAUAAUUAAGGUUAUUCUGUUUGUUCUUUCCCUGCAGCAAAGCUUCUAAAGAUUUGGAGAAGAUAGAAAACAACCCAAAAGGCUAAAACACUAUUGUACUUGUAUCGCAGAAUUUCCUGGAAAACUGAUGUUCUGUUGGCCUGAAGAAUUUACUUUUCUUCUAAAAGUGAGCAGUUUACUCCUUCUUCUCUGCACAUUCCUGACAUAAGUCAUUGGAUGUGAGCUGAGAGUUCUGAGAAGAGAGAGGAAAUGUAACCUCCUUAGUGUAUGCAUAUAAUUUUACAGAGAGCUGGUUGUUAAGCCUUUACCAGCACAUCCGUGGUAGUGUCUUCCACAGUGGAUGGGAAUGGAGUGGAGGGAAUUCAUCUGAAGGACAUUUCAGAGGAAAAUCAGAUAUCCAUCGCUUUUGGU